AGGACCGUCCUGUGAAUGGAUAUCACAGCUCUCUUCACUGCAUCAUGUCAGCUGAGGGGCCAGCAUAGAUAUGGAAGCUGAAGUCCCUUUUCUGAGGGAUUUCUCCAAAGAAGGUGAUUUUGUUCUCUUGGUGUCCGAUAUAUUACUUUCAGCAUUUCUGCAGUUAAUACAAGAUCUCAUUUCAGCAUUGUGCCUGAGAAAAGGGGCUUAGGGGAGAUGACAGGCCUCUGUCAGAGCCUCCGUGCCAGGAAAAUUAGGGUUUCACAAUUACGUACUGUACCACAAGUGUCACCAAAAAGCCCUCUUCAUAAUUGGAUCCAUUUUAGGAGUUUAGGCCUUUUUUUUUGAGACAUACAGUCAGAGCAACCCUAUAGAUGUCAUCCUCCCUUUUCAGUUUCUUUUGCAUUUAGAUCUGCCCAUAGGAAAACACAAAAUCACUGCAGUUAGUCCCGUCACUGCUCUAAACAAAAAAUUCAUGUCACUCUCAAUACCUAUAAUUCUCUGCCUAUAACUUUGUGUUUCUUCAAGCAUAAAGGAAAUUAACUUCUGUCAUUAGCAAGGACAUUGGCAGAUAAAACAAUAGGAUGUACAGUCCCCCUUGUUUAUAACACAUUUUAAUUUUGUGUAAGUUCUACUUUGAGCUAAUGGCUUCUCUGGAGAGAAAUGUUGGUCAUCUCCUAAUGAUAGGUUGCAGGAAUAGGGUUGAGUUACAAUAUACAGUCAUUUUUUCAGCCAAGCAUGAUAAAUUUAAAUUAUGCCUUAAACACUUAAUUACUGGUUAAAAAUAUAGUGAAUUGAACCCAGCUGGUUUAAAUUUCCUGAUUACAAUAAAACUGAUGAAAUCAUAACAAAGAGCCAUGUCAUCAUUGUAUUGCAUUGCAUUUAUAUUCUGUGAUGACCUCUCUUUGUGAUGGAAUCUUACAUUUGCAUAGACAAAAAUGCACCCAAUACUCCAUGUUCAUGCAAUCGCCAUCAAUCGAAGUCCUGUCUGCCUCACUCAAAAGAGUUUCAAAACACAUUUAUGAAGAAGACUUUUUGCAGUUAUAUCAGAGAUAAGGAUGAUUUGUUUGCAGUGUUUUUUUCUGUUAAAAUGGUUGUAUGUUUGUUGGAGACUUUUCAAAGGACAUGACAGUUUAAGUAUUAUUUAUCUGUAAACACUAGCAUUACCUACAAUUAAAAAUAAUACUAAUAAUUCUGAUGUUUUUUCUUGUGGUUACAUAUGGGAGCGAAGAACAGAAU